rnacentral:rRNA from 1 species
AGCAGCCGCGGUAAUUCCAGCUCCAAUAGCGUAUAUUAAAGUUGUUGCAGUUAAAAAGCUCGUAGUUGAAUUUCGGGGUCAGUAGGUUGGUCAUGCCACUGGUAUGUACUGGCCUCACUGAUUCCUCCUUCCUGAUGAGCCGUAAUGCCAUUAAUUUGGUGUUGCGAGGAAUCUGGACUGUUACUUUGAAAAAAUUAGAGUGUUUAAAGCAGGCUAACGCUUGAAUACAUUAGCAUGGAAUAAUGAAAUAGGACGUUCGAUCUUAUUUUGUUGGUUUCUAAGAUUGACGUAAUGAUUAAUAGGGAUAGUUGGGGGCAUUAGUAUUCAAUUGUCAGAGGUGAAAUUCUUGGAUUUAUUGAAGACUAACUACUGCGAAAGCAUUUGCCAAGGAUGUUUUCAUUAAUCAAGAACGAAAGUUAGGGGAUCGAAGACGACCAGAUACCGUCGUAGUCUUAACCAUAAACUAUGCCGACUAGGGAUCGGAUGAUGUUAAUUUUUUAAUUGACCAUUCGGCGCCG